rnacentral:lncRNA from 1 species
UGGGGAUAAGAAGGGGACGAGGGGAACUAGGUUUUCAGAAAUGCCAAGAAAUUCCUGGAAGUCAAGAGCAACUCUCCAGAAAUGGACAAGAGAGAAAGGGUAAGGAAGGAGGUACAGUGAUCACCAAAGAAAAAAGAGUAAGAAACUAAGGAAUGCAAGACCAAGGGACUCUGAUAUUUGGUGGAUUCUCUAGUCCUUUUUUAACAGGGAGAAGAGGAGGAAUAAAUUGGAGGAGGGAUUAAUUAUCUG